GACGCACAAAUAAGACGUAGACAGGCCAGGUGCCAGCUUCCGGGCCCGACGGGAUUGUGGCGGUCCUCUCUUCUAAGUCGGAAGCCACCUCAGCCUCCAGACGCUCUCAAGAUGGCGACCUCUCUAGGUUCUAACACCUAUAACAGGCAGAACUGGGAGGAUGCGGACUUCCCCAUUCUGUGCCAGACGUGUCUUGGAGAAAACCCAUAUAUCCGAAUGACCAAAGAAAAGUACGGGAAGGAAUGCAAAAUCUGUGCCAGGCCAUUCACAGUAUUUCGUUGGUGCCCCGGGGUCCGCAUGCGUUUCAAGAAGACUGAAGUAUGCCAGACCUGCAGCAAAUUAAAGAAUGUCUGUCAGACCUGUCUCUUGGACCUAGAAUAUGGCUUGCCCAUCCAGGUUCGUGAUGCGGGAUUGUCUUUCAAGGAUGACAUGCCAAAGUCAGAUGUCAACAAAGAGUACUACACACAGAAUAUGGAGAGAGAGAUUUCUAACUCUGAUGGAACAAGGCCAGUUGGCAUGCUGGGGAAAACUACAUCCACUAGUGACAUGCUGCUCAAACUGGCCCGGACCACUCCCUACUACAAAAGGAAUCGACCCCACAUUUGCUCCUUCUGGGUGAAAGGAGAGUGCAAGAGAGGAGAGGAGUGUCCCUACAGACAUGAGAAGCCUACAGAUCCAGAUGACCCCCUUGCUGAUCAGAAUAUCAAAGACCGAUAUUACGGAAUCAAUGACCCUGUGGCAGAUAAGCUUCUAAAACGGGCGUCAACAAUGCCUCGUCUGGAUCCGCCAGAGGACAAGACUAUCACCACAUUAUAUGUUGGUGGUCUGGGUGAUACCAUUACUGAGACAGACCUAAGAAAUCAUUUCUACCAGUUUGGAGAGAUCCGGACAAUCACCGUUGUGCAGAGACAGCAGUGUGCUUUCAUUCAGUUUGCCACAAGGCAAGCUGCAGAAGUGGCUGCUGAGAAAUCCUUUAAUAAGUUGAUUGUUAAUGGCCGCAGACUCAAUGUGAAAUGGGGAAGAUCCCAGGCAGCCAGAGGAAAAGAAAAAGAGAAGGACGGAACCACGGACUCUGGAAUCAAGCUCGAGCCCGUUCCAGGACUGCCAGGAGCUCUUCCUCCUCCUCCUGCAGCAGAAGAAGAAGCCUCUGCCAAUUACUUCAACUUACCUCCAAGUGGUCCUCCAGCCGUGGUCAAUAUUGCCCUGCCUCCACCCCCUGGCAUUGCCCCGCCCCCACCCCCAGGUAAGGUCCAUCUUCCUUCUUAGCAAAUAGAUCUGACUUCCUUAGCCCAGGGAAAUCUUUGUGAAAGUCCUGUCUUCACACCACACCAUCAAGUCUCAACCAGCUAGAUUCUUUGAGUUUGUCCAGUAGAAGUUUGUAAGUAAACCUGGUUUUUGUUAGAAUUACUGAUAUUUUUUUCCUGGCCUUUCCAAAGAUGUGAGUAUGUGUAUAAUCAGAGCAGGAGUUAUUGCACUGCAGUGAUCUAUCACCAGUUUGUGCCCUGUUCUAAACUAAACCCACACUGAUACCCUGGAGCACCCUUACUCAAAAUGUGGGCUGUGGACUUGACAUUUCACCUUCAUCAAGAAAGUCUGAUUACAAAAAUAUUGUCAGAUGAACCCAACAGUGUGCUUGGUAAUAUAAUUGAGUUACAUUUUGGCUCAAGCUCUUCAUCUUGUUGGUAACCAGCAAUGAAGAGUUCAGGGCUGGUGUUUUGUGUAGCACGGCCCUAGAGAAUGUCAGUGACAGUAACAGUGUGAGUCAAUCACAAGUAGCCAGGUCGCCUGUGGCAGUGAUCCCAUACUGUUUGAAGAAAGCACUGGUUUCUGAACACCCUCCAUUGUGGCAUAGAACAUUGAGGUUAAUCAUCCAGGUCUUGCCGUCAGCAUGAUUUCUUCCUCCUCUCCCAAAUCCUGCCCCUGUGUGGUGGGUUUUGGCAUGCUUGAUUCAUGGCAGGCUGAGGACAUACCAGCAGGUACCUUGAAUUCUGCGGAGUCUUUUUUUUCUCAACUUGGACUCAGGGGAAAUGUCUCCAAAACCAAGGAAAUGAUAUAGGUAGACAGUCCUAAACAAGUCUUGUUAACUGACAUUUUAAGCUCCUUGUCAGUUUGAUUUAUGUGUAGAUUAUUUUUACCUUAGGAUGAUUUCAAGGUAUCAAAUAUAGUCAAGAGAACUGCAAACCUGACAAAUUUGUUCUCUUCUGUCUGUAGGUUUUGGACCACACAUGUUCCACCCAAUGGGACCACCCCCUCCUUUCAUGAGGGCUCCAGGACCAAUCCACUAUCCUUCUCAGGACCCUCAGAGGAUGGGAGCCCACGCUGGGAAACACAGCAGUCCCUAGCACAUUGUCACCACUCCUGGGCUCUAUGGAAGAAAGGGCGUUUAAAACUCCCAGUAAAUGAAUCUCGGAAUAAAUAUAUUUUUUCUUCCUUUGUAGUUUCCAUGGUAGCUGAAUGUGUUCAGAUGUGGGCAGUCAGAGAACUACAGCCAUGCUUUCCUACAUGUAUUCAAAGGACUGAUGGACCUCAAACAAGCUGCCAUUAACACAUCUGGUUACUGCUAUAACAUUACUAAUAAAACCUAAUGGCUGUUCCCCUUACCUGUGCAGGGGACAAGUGACUGGUGAAUUGGAAUGUUCAACAGAGUUACCAUCCCAACUAAAUGCAAAUAUCAUGGAGCUGUGUAUCAUCAAACAAGCGUGGUGUCUGGGAUUGAAAUUAUUUUCAAGAACUUCCUGUAAAACACCUUAACAAACUGAAAUGAAAAGCGUUGGAGUGUGUUUGAACGGGAGACUUGACUGACAGCUGGAACUCUGAUCCACAGCAUUCACCCUCGUCUUCAGCAUCUUGUUUCCAUUCCCUGCUGUUGGGCAGGUGAUGAUCUGUUUGGUCUUAGAAUGUUUGGAUAUAACUGAAUUGUAGAUGGUAAAGGAAAUGUGAUGUUGUGUUUUGUUUUGUUUUUAAAUAAUUAAAACGGGUCAAUUUUCCAAAUGUCAUCGGCUUAUUUCUAAAUUUCUGUUUUCUUUAUCCUUGGGUAGCUGAACCCAAGGUCAGUGGAAGUUGGAAACAAGUUGUAUAUAAAUGUGAAUGUUUUUUAAAUCUUGCUUUAGACUGUUUUGAUUUUUAUCUCUGUAUUUAUUCCAUGCUGAUAAAAAGGCCCAGGCCUUUUUAGUGUUUAUGUCAAAGGUUGGUUGUGAGGUUGAAAUAAGAUAAUGCACAGAAGGCACUUAGCACAAAGCCCAGCAUGUGGUGUUUGAUAAGUGGUAGCUUUAAAAAACCAUUCUCAUAUUAUACAAGUCAUUUUGAAGGGAAACAGGCAAAAUUUAUCUACAAGGCCAUUUUUCCUGAAACCAAUAGCAUGUCACUUUUGCCUAAAAUAUGUACUUAAGAAAUGUACAGGCCUCACAUGGCACCAUUUUAGCUUCUUUGGAGAGUUUGUUUUUCUCUAGAGGGCUUGACACAACACACACACCCCUUUUUUUAAAAAAAAAAUCUAGGAGCAGUUAGAAAAUUUCAUUGUAUUUCUAGCAAUAUCACUGUGAAGCAAUGCAGAGUAUUUCCAAAUAUUUUUACACCCUGUCAUAGUUAUCUAGUGCUGCUAUAACAGAAAUACCACAAGUGGAUAGCUUUAACAAAGAGAAAUUUAUUCUCUC